rnacentral:rRNA from 1 species
CAGUCGCCGCGGUAAUACGAAGGGUGCAAGCGUUAAUCGGAAUUACUGGGCGUAAAGCGUGCGUAGGCGGUGAGUUAAGUCUGCUGUGAAAUCCCCGGGCUCAACCUGGGAAUGGCAGUGGAUACUGGCCAGCUAGAGUGUGUCAGAGGGGGGUGGAAUUCCACGUGUAGCAGUGAAAUGCGUAGAGAUGUGGAGGAACACCGAUGGCGAAGGCAGCCACCUGGGCCAAUACUGACGCUCAUGCACGAAAGCGUGGGGAGCAAACAGGAUUAGAUACCCGUGUAGUCCCUGUCUCUUAUAC